CUUUCCGCCUAGUGAGAGGCGGUCCGAUUUGGCCCUUGGGGAGUGUCCGUCGCGUUGAUCUGAUGGAUUCACGUACACAACACCACAUUCUAUGAGAUUUUGCAGGCAAAAGUCCACAAGCUCGAUAUAUGGGACACCUGCACCGGCAUUGGAUUUGGCCCCGCAACAUCUUAAAGGAACAACCUAAUACAUACCCCUUGUCUGCCUGAUCCCUGGGGAACAUGCUGUCCUGUGAUGCUGAAGCCUGCAGCUGGUGAACUCAUGGUGAACUCGUGGCCCACCUUUGGAUUCAGACAAAUCUCCCAGGGAGUAUUGGCCACCUCCCCUGGCAGACUCAGUACCCCUGGCCCCUGCUGUGGGGUUACCUUGUCUUGGUUGUGGCAGGCCUACUGGCUGUUAGUUCAGCAUCAUCCUUCAAGAGAACAGAAAGGCUUAGAAUAAUUGAUUGUCAUAUCUGUGUCUGACCAUGCUAUUGUGGACUUGGCCUGAACAGCCAUAGAAAUGCAAGGAAUGAGGUUUGAGGGACUUGGGCAGUUGUCUCAAAAAGGGAGUCAAGGCAGAAAUCCCUUACCCUGAGCACUGCUCUCAACAUGGAGGAAGCAGGCUGUGAGCCAAGGGGAAGGCAGAGGACAGAAAUGAAUGUGUUUCCAGGCUUUCCUGGUGGUUUAUGGCAUUCUCCAAACUCCUAUGCAAGGGCUAUUCCUGA
rnacentral:lncRNA from 1 species